UACAGGGGGCUCGAGCGUUAGUCGGAAUCACUGGGCUUAAAGGGUGCGUAGGCGGCUCGCCAAGUGCUUUGUGAAAUCCCACAGCUCAACUGUGGAACAGCAGGGCAAACUGGCGAGCUUGAGGCAGGUAGGGGCCGGAAGAACAGUUGGUGGAGCGGUGAAAUGCGUAGAUAUCAACUGGAAUGCCGAUGGGGAAGCCGUCCGGCUGGGCCUGUCCUGACGCUGAGGCACGAAAGCGUGGGGAGCAGACAGG
rnacentral:rRNA from 1 species